GACGAACCGUACGAACGUUAUUCGGAAUUACUGGGCUUAAAGGGUUUGUAGGCGGCCUUGUAAGUCAGGUGUGAAAUCCCUCGGCUCAACCGAGGAAUAGCGCUUGAUACUGCAAGGCUUGAGGGAGACAGGGGUAAGCGGAACUGAUGGUGGAGCGGUGAAAUGCGUUGAUAUCAUCAGGAACACCGGUGGCGAAAGCGGCUUACUGGGUCUCUUCUGACGCUGAGGAACGAAAGCUAGGGGAGCGAACGGG
rnacentral:rRNA from 1 species